GGUCAUGAGCGCCAGCGACAAGCCCCGGCUUGCUGGCCGGCAACCCUCCAACCGCGGUGGGGUGCCCCGGGUGAUGACCAGGUUGAGUGGUUGACGGAUUCCUCCGUCGGCCGCAAGGCAAGCGCGGGUC
rnacentral:ncRNA from 2 species